rnacentral:rRNA from 1 species
CGGACGGGUGAGUAACACGUGGAUAACCUACCUAUAAGACUGGGAUAACUUCGGGAAACCGGAGCUAAUACCGGAUAAUAUUUUGAACCGCAUGGUUCAAAAGUGAAAGACGGUCCUGCUGUCACUUAUAGAUGGAUCCGCGCUGCAUUAGCUAGUUGGUAAGGUAACGGCUUACCAAGGCAACGAUGCAUAGCCGACCUGAGAGGGUGAUCGGCCACACUGGAACUGAGACACGGUCCAG